GGAUGCGUGGCAGAGCGGCCUAAUGCGGCGGUCUUGAAAACCGCUGACGAGCAAUCGUCCGGGGGUUCAAAUCCCUCCGCAUCCGCCG
rnacentral:tRNA from 1 species